CCAUGCAGCCAUAUCACCCUGCAACUCACAGCUGGCAGGUUCAGCAGGUGUGAGCCCGGUCAAUACCUGGAUGGAAGACCUCCUGGGAAAAACUAAGGUUGCUGCUGGAA
rnacentral:rRNA from 1 species